rnacentral:tRNA from 1 species
GCCGGUGUCGUCUAGUGGCCAGGAUCGCUGACUUUCAAUCAGCAGACGGGAGUUCAACUCUCCUCGCCGGUACCA